UCCUCUGCGAAGAGGAAUCUGGAAGGUCUGCAGGCAAAGUCCAUUUCAGAAUAAUAUGUGAACCAGAGGUGGCGGCGAUGCUGGGUGAUCCGCCCGAAAAACGGAGAAACCUGUGCCACUGUGACUGUAGGAAAACUUGAAAAAGGGGAACGACCUACAGGGCUCAUCGACGUGAUUAGGGUCAGGAUGGAUGGAACUGAGUGUGUG
rfam:Lentibacillus amyloliquefaciens strain LAM0015, complete genome.